ensembl:misc_RNA Metazoa_SRP Metazoan signal recognition particle RNA
GCUGGGCACAGUGGCAUGUGCCUAUAGUCCCAGCUACUCAGGAGGCUGAGGUGGGAGGAUUGCUUGAGCCCAGGAGUUUGAGGCUACAGUGAGCUAUGUUGGGCCACUGCGCUCCAGCCUGGGCAACAGAGCAAGACCGUGUCUCUA